GGACCCGCACAAGUAGUGGAGCAUGUGGUUUAAUUCGAAGAUACGCGCAGAACCUUACCAACACUUGACAUGUUCGUCGCGACUUUAAGAGAUUAAAGUUUUCGGUUCGGCCGGACGAAACACAGGUGCUGCAUGGCUGUCGUCAGCUCGUGUCGUGAGAUGUUGGGUUAAGUCCCGCAACGAGCGCAACCCUCACUUUUAGUUGCCAUCAUUAAGUUGGGCACUCUGAAAGAACUGCCAGUGAUAAGCUGGAGGAAGGUGGGGAUGACGUCAAGUCCUCAUGGCCCUUACGUGUUGGGCUACACACGUGCUACAAUGGUAUCUACAACAGGAAGCAAAACGGCGACGUUAAGCAAAUCCUUAAAAGAUACCUCAGUUCGGAUUGUACUCUGUAACUCGAGUGCAUGAAGCUGGAAUUGCUAGUAAUCGC
rnacentral:rRNA from 1 species